rnacentral:misc_RNA from 1 species
GUUGUUGGUUAUAUAUAUAUAUAUGAAUGUAUGUAUACUUUGCAUGCCAUCCUUCUUGCAUUUUCUCUAGCAUAGAUGUGCCCUAGGUGGAAGACGCGACAAUAACACUCCUAGUACCUCACCAACCAAAAGGUGGGCGAUCCAUACCAAGCGCACCAAGGUCAAGCCCAAUCAGCCCUAAUUAUAAGGCAGAAAAGGAAGGAAGGAAGCGAGAGGAGGGGGAAGAGGUGCCUUCUAAUUUGUAUACCUUUAGAGGAACAGUGUUAUCAAAGGCAUGUCUGAGCCUCAGGCAGUGAAAGGCACUCAGCCACACCCACGCGCCCCCGUGUGAUGACAAGCAUGGUUUCAAAAAACAGCCAUUAAAUUAUGUAAUGGCUGUUAUUUGUAGGUUUUUUGGGCUGCAUGACCGUUACACCUGUCGUUGCGUAACGGGUUUUAAAAAUUGUAGCU